AAGCUUCAGCGCUGGACCGAGAUCCUCCAAUGCCCCUCAGAGGAGGACAAGGAGAUUCGGAAAAAGCAGGUCCGCCCUCUUUUCCGCCACUUCCGUCGCAUCGAUGCCUGUCUGCAGCCCAGAGAGGCCUUCCGGGGCUCAGAUGAGAUCUUUUGCAGGGUGUACACGCCGGACCACUCGUA